UGGGGGAUAUUGCACAAUGGGCGAAAGCCUGAUGCAGCGACGCCGCGUGGGGGAUGAAGGCUUUCGGGUUGUAAACCUCUUUCGCUAUCGAACAAGGCCCGCUUAGGGUGGGUUGAGGGUAGGUGGAGAAGAAGCGCCGGCUAACUACGUGCCAGCAGCCGCGGUAAUACGUAGGGCGCGAGCGUUGUCCGGAAUUAUUGGGCGUAAAGGGCUUGUAGGCGGCUUGUUGCGCCUGCUGUGAAAACGCGGGGCUUAACUUCGCGCGUGCAGUGGGUACGGGCAGGCUUGAGUGUGGUAGGGGUGACUGGAAUUCCAGGUGUAGCGGUGGAAUGCGCAGAUAUCUGGAGGAACACCGAUGGCGAAGGCAGGUCACUGGGCCAUUACUGACGCUGAGGAGCGAAAGCAUGGGUAACGAACAGG
rnacentral:rRNA from 1 species